UUAAUGAGCUAUUUAAGAAAGUGGAAUGUGAUAUUUGGGGAAAAUUGAAGGUAAUGUAUCUGUUUGAUAAAGAUUGUUACCAGUGAGAAAGAAGAAAUCCUUGGUAUGGCAUUGCUUGCCAGUACAUUUUUUUUUCCCUCUUCUUAGUGGGAAAAAUGUGGUUGGUAGUUGAUAAUGCUACUUUGCCUUUGGCUUGUGAUGGAAGAUUUUCCUUUUUGUAUUUCCAAGUGCAAAAAUAUAGAUAUGCCCUACCUCCCUGUCCAAAUUCGUGAGGCUCUGUUUUCCUCUCAUGCUUUCAAUGUUUAGUUUCUUUCAGUAGAAAAGAAGACUUUAUAUUUGAGCCAUGAAGAUGAUUAGCAAUUCAUAAAAAGUGGCUGAGACCAGAUGCUUCAGCGAGAGAUGUCAUAUUAAUGCAAUUCAGAGGAGCAUAUGGCAAGAGAAAAAUCGUUACGACAGUGACUGACCUAAAGAGCAAGUAGCAUUUUUAACCUU
rnacentral:lncRNA from 1 species